UAAAGAUUUGGUCCUAGUCUUUUUAUUGGUUGUUAACAAAACUACACAUGCAAGCAUCCACAUACCAGUGAAAAUGCCCUUUAACGUUCCCUAAGAACCCAAAGGAGCUGGCAUCAAGCACGCUAGUAAGUAGCUCACAACGCCUUGCCUUGCCACACCCCCACGGGAUACAGCAGUGAUUAAAAUUUAGCAAUAAACGAAAGUUUGACUAAGUUAUGUUACUUAGGGUUGGUAAAUUUCGUGCCAGCCACCGCGGUCACACGAUUAACCCAAAUCAAUAAACACCCGGCGUAAAGAGUGUCACAUUUAAUCAACAUAAAUAGAGUUAAAAACACACUAAACUGUAAAAAGCCUAGUAUUUAUAAAAAUAAAAUACGAAAGUUACCCUAUUACCUAACUCAGACACGAAAGCUAAGACCCAAACUAAGAUUAGAUACCUUACUAUGCUUAGCUAUAAACCUAAUAUGUUCUAUAACAAAACAUUUCGCCUGAGAACUACUAGCAACAGCUUAAAACUCAAAGGACUUGACGGUGCUUUAUAUCCACCUAGAGGAGCCUGUUCUAUAAUCGAUAAACCCCGAUAAACCUCACCAUCUAUUGCAACCCAGCCUAUAUACCGCCAUCUUCAGCAAACCUUUACAAAGAAAAAAAGUAAGCUAAAUGAUAUACCAUAAAAACGUUAGGUCAAGGUGUAGCCUAUGAGAUGGGAAGAAAUGGGCUACAUUUUCUAUAAAAGAACAAUACCACGCUAACUAAUAUGAAACUUAUUAGUCAAAGGAGGAUUUAGUAGUAAGUUAAGAAUAGAGAGCUUAACUGAAUAGAGCAAUGAAGCACGUACACACCGCCCGUCACCCUCCUCAACCUAUCAAAUCCUAAUAUUCCUAAUUCUAACAAUAAGAUACUAGAGGAGACAAGUCGUAACAAGGUAAGCAUACCGGAAGGUGUGCUUGGAAAAAU
rnacentral:ncRNA from 1 species